rnacentral:rRNA from 1 species
UACGUAUAGUGCAAGCGUUAUCCGGAUUUACUGGGCGUAAAGGGAGCGCAGGCGGCGCGCCAAGUCUGAUGUGAAACCCCGGGGCUCAACCCCGGGCAUGCAUUGGAAACUGGCGGGCUGGAGUGCCGGAGAGGUAAGCGGAAUUCCUAGUGUAGCGGUGAAAUGCGUAGAUAUUAGGAGGAACACCAGUGGCGAAGGCGGCUUACUGGACGGCAACUGACGCUGAGGCUCGAAAGCGUGGGGAGCAAACAGG